rnacentral:rRNA from 1 species
AUUGAACGCUGGCGGCGGGCCUAACACAUGCAAGUCGAGCGAGCGGCGGACGGGUGAGUAGUGUAUGGGGAUCUGCCCGAUAGAGGGGGAUAACUACUGGAAAACGUGGCUAAUGCCGCAUACUGUCGGUUCAACCCAUAUUGGAUUAGCUAGUAGGGGGGGUAAAGGCUCACCAAGGCGACGAGCUCUAGCUGGUCUGAGAGGAUGAUCAGCCACACUGGGACUGAGACACGGCCCAGACUCCUACGGGAGGCAGCAGUGGGGAAUAUUGCACAAUGGGCGCAAGUCUGAUGCAGCCAUGCCGCGUGUAUGAAGAAGGUCUUCGGGUUGUAAAGUACUUUUAGCGGGGAGGCGGUACCCGCAGAAGAAGCACCGGCUAACUCCGUGCCAGCAGCCGCGGUAAUAC